AGUAGGUCGUGGUACGGCCUACUACCAGGGCCCGCACACUCUCAAGUUCAACAAAUGGCCACAGAGGGCGAAAAAAUCGACCGCGCGGCGCUGCUAAAGAAACAGGCAUAGUACACCAAUUAAAAAGGUUCCCCGUUGAGCACAUUAUCUCCCGCUAGAGGCGCCGUAGUAAGCGCAAUUUUAACCUACAAACUUUCUUCAACAGUAAAUAAAGCGUUCUUAUUGCAUGAUAAAGACUACAAAAUUAUAAUUCCUAAUUUUACAUUGUACUUUUUAUUACCAACUUUGUUGUUUUUUGUCAUUUUAAACGCAAAAUAGCGUUCAGCAUCAUCGACCUCCCACGUGACCUCUGGCCUGGAUUUAAAAUUUUUACCGGUAUUUUCGUGUGCGCGGCAGGUACGGAUUCCUUGGUUCGUACAUUGGUUGGUUAUUUUGUGCUAACACCAGUUUACUGCGCUUCGAUGUCUCGCGUUAUUUAAUUUGAGGUGUAAGCCUGAAAGCUAGGUUUCAGUCGUGAGCCAUGUGGAACACGUCUGCAUCGAAAUGGGAGCCGGGUCCUGCUGCAACUGGGGACAGCAAUACCGACAUGCAGUAAUGAGGAUGGCACCAGUAUAAAGCAACACACUCCAUGCACUAAACAGAAGCUGCUGCCUGCUACAACAAGGUCAUUGUGUGGACUUUGGCUGCUACUACAAGAGUCUGUGCCAAGUACAUCUUGGUCAUCACGGGAGCCCCCAUCUACACCAACAGGAAGGGGCUGGAGCUGAAUUCACAAGACCACAAACAAAGAAGCCAUUCCAGAAUUAUUUGGAUGAGAUAUCAAGUCUACGGACGACUGUUUCAAGAGUGAAAAGAGCCUACGCCAUCAUUCCACCAGCAUGGAUAUUGGCAGAGUCAUCCAGGUACCUCAACAACAAAAAUUAUUUGUCUUCAGAUGUACCUGCAACCUCUGAACAAGCACAGAUGACGCUGGCUAAGAGUGUUCUGUCAGCUUGCCCUUCCUUAGUGAGCUUCCUGGCCUUGCUAGUUCUUGCCAAGUAUAAUUUUGUUUCAAUGAAUGCAAGAUUUUUCAUUCCACACUUUUGUUAGAGAUCAUUCCUAUUCCUCAUACAAACAAUAAAGGUCAACCGAUUCUUUGCUCAUACUUAAUGCCAGUCACUGUAUAGUAGCAUAACAUAUGUGUAGCAGUUCUUUCUAGUGUAUGUUGCCAUGUGCAAUUCCUCUCCUGAAAUAGCUGAUGCAGCAUUGGCGUGUGUCUUGCAUUAACCUUUACACUGUGUGCUAUGUAGCUUUUAACUUUUGUUAAUGUUUUUGGCUUUCAAUGCUUGCAAGGUAGAUUGGCUUCUUUCUUGAAUGCAAGCUUUCUCAUUCCCAUAUUGAAUUCCUAGUCUCAUUCAGGAUUGCUAUUCUUGCUCGACAGCCUGUGUUUUUGUGCAAGCUACAUUGAAGUGAUUGAUUGCAGAAUCUGGUUUCGGCGCUGUCCAACUUGGUACUUGUCACCGUGUUACGUUUCUCAUAUGUGGGAGCCUGGUCAGUUGCAUUGGGAAACAGUCUCUCGAGGCAAGCACCUGCUCCUACAGUCCGCACAGUGACAUAGACUGCGAAUUUACACGCACACCGUGGUUGGUGCUCCCCGUUCCGUCCUUUCCUGCUGCUGCCGUGUGCAAAUUUUGCUUGUGGUCUUCCUCGGCCAUGAUUUGGUGUCAACGGAGACUCUCAUACAUAAUUACAUGGUUCUAAGUGCAUGAAGUUGAUAUCCACAUGUGUGGAAAGGCCUGCAAAAGUGACUGCAAAAUAGUGAUGUUCACAAAACCGACCAUGCCCAUAUAUAGAGAAUGUGGGGGACCAAGUGUGAGUUACACAUUAGUGGCAUGCAAAAGAACAAAACGAAACAUGCAGGUUGGAAAGGCGGUAACGCUAAAAUGCCGGGCACUCCAUGUCACUGUUGGCUGUGGCAGCAGAUGCUUGCGUCACCCGAUUGCUUCGCAAUGCAAGCUGCUCAUAUUCAACGCCGACUGUCAGUGCAAACAUGUGGGACACACUGUCCAAUCUGCUUGCGCUGCUGGUUGUUGCUCGUUACCAGACUGCAGUGUGCGACGAAGGCAAGCACUAUGCCUACAGUCGGACGGUUGAAUGUGCCACAAGCAACCCAUGUGCGUGUAUGCUCACUGUUGUCAUGUAGAUCGUAGCCAAUGCAUAGUGCCAAUGUAUAGAUUGAGCAUUAUGUUAGAGUAUGCUGAAGUGAUUUGAUUGCAUAAUCUUGUUUCAAUGUUGUCCCACUUGGUCAUGGUUGCCGUGUUACAUUUCUGGGAUGUGGCAGCCUGUUCAGUUGCAUUGGCCAACGGCCUCUCGAGGUAAGCACCUGCUCCUGCAGUCCGCACAGUGACACAAACUCCCUGUUUACAUGUACUGCUAUUGGUGCUCCCUGUUUGUCCUUUUCUGCUGCAGCCAUGGCUAAAGUGUGCUUGUGGCCUUCUUUGGCCGUGAUUUGGCGUGAACAGAGACUAUCAUACAUGAUUACAUGGUUUGAAGUGUAUGAAGUUGAUAUCCACAUGGGUGUAAAGGCCUGUAAAAGUGGCUGCGAAAUGGCGAUUCCCACAAAACAGACCACAUCCAUAUUGAGAGCAGGUGGGGCACCAAGUGUGAGCAACACAUUAGUGGCCACCGAAAGAACAAAAAGAAACGUGCAUGUAGGAAAGGAGGUAACACUAGGAUGCCGGGCAGUUCAUGUCGCUGUGUUGGCUAUGGCAGCAGGUGCCUGCAUCACCCGAUUGAUUCGCAGUACAAGUUACGGUGACUGUCAGUGUAAACAGGUGGGGCACUGACCAAUCUGCUUGUGCUGCUGGUUGUCACUCGUUACUAGACCACCAUGUGCGACGUAGGCAAGCACUGUGCCUGAAGUCGUAUAGCUGAAUAAGCUGUAUGCAAUUUGUAGUGCGUGAAUGCCCACUGUUGUCAUAUGGAUCUUAGCCAA